CUGCUGGGUCGAAGUGUGGAAGGCUAGAAAGGAGUUGGCAUCGGAGACGAAGGGAGACGCCAUGCUAUCUUGCACAUAAUGCCAAUUAAUUAAUGGAUACUACUGUGGUUCGGCUGGAUUAUGUAACUGGUGCCCAGGACGACUGCUAUCGAUCGACGUCUCGGUGCUGCUAGACGGUGAAUGUGUCAAACGAGUUUUCCCGUAUAGCAGUGGAUGGAAAUAUCUGGUCAUAUCCAAGCCAGACAGACAACUCGGACCUAACACUGAUCAGUCGACGGCCUCGUACCAGACUCGUCAAGAUCCAUUUGCGGACUGGGAUGUACAGCUGCAUUACCGUGUCGUGGUGCCAAAUACUAAUGGUAGGGAAGCGAAUAGUGUCGUUACGGAACCUCACACUCACCGCACUCCACCCCUCACAUCUCCCAACCCUAACUCCCAUCUCGCGUAGUCGUGUUUCUCUGCGUUCGGAUGCAUAACACGGCCGACGGUGUAGGAAACCAGACUGAGUGACCUUGAUGGAAAGGCAAGAAAUGCACACUCAAUAUACAUUUGUCGGACCUCAUCGAUCAAAAGUAACAACCGAGAUGAUUUCAAUAAUAAUUCAAUAAGACGAAAUCAUAUUGUAUUGUAGAAAACAUUAGGAAAAAUAACAAUGAGAUCGGGGAUUUCAUUGAUAAUGUUAUAAGAAAUAAAUCAGAUUGAAUGUUGAAAGAAAUAAUACUCAUUGAUGUACCAGCUAUGGUAACUGAAAUUACCAAACCACGGAGUAAGGUCCCAAGUGGUAAGCGAGAUUACGGGAAUGAGAAGAACUCAAAGAGCGAGAAAGAAAAAAAACAAUCCGUAAGAGAGGAAGAAGAAGAAGAAGAAGAAGAAGAAGAAUAAGACUGCGCAGGGUGGAGGGGUGGAAACGUAGGAGGUUAAGACGUUGUCCUGCCAACAGGUGGUAGCAACCUCACACCACAGUCAGCUAUCCUCUUCUACCCAACCCCUUUUUCGCCCUCUGUGGCAGCAACCACGACGAUAACCCGCGGCGACACCCGAUAAAACGGCUCGUAGAAGAGGGUUGGGGGUCUCUGUUACGAUGCGCAUGGGAUAAGUGGGUCGUGCAGCAUUAGACAGAAAGAGAGAAAGAAUGUGCUGCUAGCAGAGAAGAAAAACACUAGAGAGAUUAUCGGCCUUGGCUACUCACUCGCGCACUAUCAAAUAAUCUUUCGUUCCGUUAACGUAUCUUCCGAAAAAAAAAAAAAACACAGACCAAGAGAGAAACUAAAGAAUAUAUGCGAGAUGUUAUCUGCAAGCUUAUCAAAAUAUUUCGAAUGUUAAUCAAAUUUUAUCAAAAAUUUAUAUCGACAAAAUAAACUAAGUAUUAUUAAUCUUUUAUUCUUCAAGAUGACUACCUAGCAUGUCGUUAGUUUUGUAGCAUUCAAAAAUGAGAAUGUGUGGACGAAAACCAGUAUCGGAUUUUCUCCAAUAAAAAAAAAACGAUGUUCACUAUACGCAACAGCAGUUAACAAUAUUAUUUGCUCAAACUUUUUUACGCGGCA